UCAUUUUCAUCAUAGAUGCGCAAAAAC
rnacentral:sRNA from 1 species